UGGGGAAUUUUGGACAAUGGGCGCAAGCCUGAUCCAGCAAUGCCGCGUGCAGGAUGAAGGCCCUCGGGUUGUAAACUGCUUUUGUACGGAGCGAGAAGGUCUGCCCUAAUACGGUGGGCUCAUGACGGUACCGUAAGAAUAAGCACCGGCUAACUACCUGCCAGCAGCCGCGGUAAUACGUAGGGUGCGAGCGUUAAUCGGAAUUACUGGGCGUAAAGCGUGCGCAGGCGGUUAUAUAAGACAGAUGUGAAAUCCCCGGGCUCAACCUGGUAACUGCAUUUGUGACUGUAUAGCUAGAGUACAGAAGAGGGGGAUGGAAUUCCGCGUGUAGCAGUGAAAUGCGUAGAUAUGCCGAGGAACACCAAUGGCGAAGGCAAUCCACUGGACAUGAACUGACACUCAUGCACGAAAGCGUGGGGAGCAAACA
rnacentral:rRNA from 1 species